rnacentral:rRNA from 1 species
CAAUAGCGUAUAUUAAAGUUGUUGCGGUAAAAAAGCUCGUAGUUGGAUUUCUGUUGAGAGCGACCGGUCCAUACCAUGUAUGCGUAUCUGGCUUGCUCUCGGCAUCCUCUCGAUAGACGUUACUGCGCUUGAUUGCGUGGUGCGGAUCUCGGGACUUUUACUUUGAGGAAAUUAGAGUGUUCACGGCAGGCUUUCGCCAGAAUACAUUAGCAUGGAAUAAUACUAUAGGAUCUUGGUUCUAUUUUGUUGGUUUCUAGAAUUGAGAUAAUGAUUAAUAGGGACAAUUGGGGGCAUUCGUAGCAACACGUCAGAGGUGGAAUUCUUGGAUUGUGUUGCGACGAACUACUGCGAAAGCAUUUGCCAAGGAUGUUUUCAUUGA